GUCCACGCCGUAAACGAUGGGCACUAGGUGUGGGAGGUGUCGACUCCUCCCGUGCCGCAGCUAACGCAUUAAGUGCCCCGCCUGGGGAGUACGGCCGCAAGGCUAAAACUCAAAGGAAUUGACGGGGGCCCCGCACAAGCAGCGGAGCAUGUGGUUUAAUUCGACGCAACGCGAAGAACCUUACCUGGGUUUGACAUGGCGAUCGUAACUGUGGAAACACAGUGUCAGUUCGGCUGUAUCGUCACAGGUGGUGCAUGGCUGUCGU
rnacentral:rRNA from 1 species